ACACUACUGACGAGUCCUAAAAUGGACGAAACAGCUGUCCAGUGC
rnacentral:hammerhead_ribozyme from 1 species